rnacentral:rRNA from 1 species
UACGGGGGGAGGCAAGCGUUGUUCGGAUUUACUGGGCGUAAAGGGCGCGUAGGCGGCCACCGCAAGUCAAUUGUGAAAUCUCCGGGCUUAACUCGGAAAGGUCAACUGAUACUGCGGGGCUAGAGUGCAGAAGGGGCAACUGGAAUUCUCGGUGUAGCGGUGAAAUGCGUAGAUAUCGAGAGGAACACCUGCGGCGAAGGCGGGUUGCUGGGCUGACACUGACGCUGAGGCGCGAAAGCUAGGGUAGCAAACGGG